rnacentral:hammerhead_ribozyme from 1 species
AUCUAGUUGAUGAGUUCCAAAUAAGACGAAACACGUCACCUAGAU